GCUCACGAUAGCUUAAAUAAGAGCAUAACACUGAAGAUGUUAGGGUGUUUAUCUGAACUCUGGGUG
rnacentral:tRNA from 1 species